rnacentral:rRNA from 1 species
CGGGAUUUCAUUUGUAGCAAUACCGAUGAAGUCUAGUGGCGGACGGGUGCGUAACACGUGAGCAAUCUGCCGGGAAGUGGGGGAUAACUCCUCGAAAGGCGAAUUAAUACCGCAUACGGCCAGGGAGGACAUCCUCCCGAAGCCAAAGUCGCAAGACGCUUCCUGAUGAGCUCGCGGCCUAUCAGCUAGUUGGUGAGGUAACGGCUCACCAAGGCUAUGACGGGUAGCUGGUCUGAGAGGACGACCAGCCACACUGGAACUGAGACACGGUCCAGACACCUACGGGUGGCAGCAGUCGAGAAUUUUUCACAAUGGGGGAAACCCUGAUGGAGCGACGCCGCGUGGAGGAUGAAGGUCUUCGGAUUGUAAACUCCUGUCAAAUGGGAACAAGAAAGUGAUAGUACCAUUAGAGGAAGAGACGGCUAACUCUGUGCCAGCAGCCGCGGUAAUACAGAGGUCUCAAGCGUUGUUCGGAUUCAUUGGGCGUAAAGGGUGCGCAGGCUGCGGGGUAAGUCGGAUGUGAAAUUUAGGGGCUCAACCUCUAAACUGCAUUCGAUACUGCUCUGCUAGAGGACUGUAGAGGAGAUUGGAAUUCACGGUGUAGCAGUGAAAUGCGUAGAUAUCGUGAGGAAGACCAGUGGCGAAGGCGAAUCUCUGGGCAGUUCCUGACGCUCAUGCACGAAGGCCAGGGGAGCAAACGGGAUUAGAUACCCCGGUAGUCCUGGCAGUAAACGGUGCACGUUUGGUGUGGGAGGAUUCGACCCCUUCCGUGCCGGAGCUAACGCGUUAAACGUG